AACGAACACUGGCGGCAGGCUUAAUACAUGCAAGUCGAACGGUGUAGCAAUACACAGUGGCGCACGGGUGCGUAACACGUAUGCAACCUACCUUACAUUGGGGGAUAGCCUUUCGAAAGGGAGAUUAAUACCGCAUAAGACAGUAACUAGGCAUCUAGUAGCUGUUAAAGAUUUAUCGAUGUAAGCUGGGCAUGCGUCCAAUUAGUUAGUUGGCGAGGUAAUGGCUCACCAAGACGAUGAUUGGUAGGGGAACUGAGGGGUCAAUCCCCCACACUGACACUGACAUACGGGCCAGACUCCUACGGGAGGCAGCAGUAGGGAAUAUUGGGCAAUGGGCGCAAGCCUGACCCAGCCAUGCCGCGUGCAGGAAGAAGGCGUUAUGCGUUGUAAACUGCUUUUAUACAGGAAGAAACGACCCUUGCGAGGGGCAUUGACGGUACUGUAUGAAUAAGCACCGGCUAACUCCGUGCCAGCCGCCGCGGUAAAAC
rnacentral:rRNA from 1 species